rnacentral:rRNA from 1 species
CACGUAGGGUGCGAGCGUUGUCCGGAAUUAUUGGGCGUAAAGAGCUCGUAGGCGGUGUGUCGCGUCGGCCGUGAAAACCUGCAGCUUAACUGUGGGCUUGCGGUCGAUACGGGCAUCACUGGAGUUCGGCAGGGGAGACUGGAAUUCCUGGUGUAGCGGUGAAAUGCGCAGAUAUCAGGAGGAACACCAAUGGCAAAGGCAGCUCGCUGGGACGGUACUGACGCUGAGGCGCGAAAGCGUGGGGAGCAAACAGG